rnacentral:rRNA from 1 species
CAGUAGGGUGCCAUCAAGAGGUGUGUU